CUCUGUCAGAACCGGGACCUGACAGUGGGGACACAUCAUCUGGCCGGGAGGUGGAGUUAAUCAGGAGCAUCCAGGCUCUGUUGAAGAGAACGCUGAGUCAGGCUGUCAAUCAAAUCAAGAACAGAACGUACAUAAACCAAAAAUCAACUCGCUGAUGGGACGUUCCAUUAUAAGGAGAGUGGCCAGCUCCAAGGCAAGUCUGCAAACCGUCAAGUUUUACAUUUCCACAAUAAUGUUAACGUUAAAUAUAAGCAUUAUUUUAUCAAUAACAGUAUACAAUAUCAAUGUAUAACUGUACUUCGCUAUUUUAAACUCGUCAAAGGGAAAAAGAGUUCCACUGGGGUGAACAGAGGGUGGGCAUUUCCCAACUCCCUUCCGGAACCGUAUUUUAACCCCGGGAUUCAGGUCGGACCUCCUUUAUCAGCACACCGUGGCAUCCAUCACUGCUGAGGAAUAGAGAUACAGAGCUGUGAAACCCUGUCUGCAGAUGAAGAGCAAUGGUUCCCAGUCCUGUUCCUGGGGUCUCAAAGGGAUGCCUUGCAACUGGAGAUUUCUUAAACAAUUGCCUACAGUUACUGUGUAGGGCACUGCACAGUUGGGUGACCACGGCCAUCUGGGACUGCCUCGUGGGGGAUUUCAGGCAUCUGUGAAGACUACCUGUGUCCUGCAUAACUUCAUGAUGAUGAACAGGAGGGGACCUGCAGCGCUCCGCCGUGUGCCAGAAAAGAGGUCUGCUGCUCUGCAGGAUGUUGCCAGGAUGGGGGCCAACAACGCGCACAGGAGGCAAUCUGUGUGCAGGAGACCUUCACCUCCUACUUCUUCGCAAAUGAUGCUGUUCCCUGGCAACACCAUAGACCACACUAUGCACAACCAAAGGCUCUUUUAAGAGCCAUCCACAUUGCAAUAAGAGUAUUCUUCAAUUUACUUAGCUAUGUCAACUGAAGUUAUUCAUUUCAGUUCCUGUGAUUUCUACUUCGCCGGUGAGGGUGCUGUUUAGGUAGGUGUGGUGUCUGUACAAAUACAAAACAGGCUCUUUUAAGAGUCACCCAUAUUGAAAACAUUUAGAACAAUUAGACACCCUAUAAGCCACACCUACACACUUGUCUAUCAAUCUGAUUUAUGUGUUGUGUAGGAAGCAGGCUCCGGUGUAUAACUGUGGCUCCUUCCACCUUCAAAAAAUAGACAAGAGGACAUACCAUGGAGAAUAGUAAGACAUUUCAUUAUUUAUAUAACUUCGCUAAAUUGUUUGUACUCAAGUGUCUGCAUAAAGUACUCUGCAGCCACUUAGUGAGGCCACACACACAGGUUUCUGUUGAACACCGUCUCUUUAACUGACUUAUUUUCUCAAUAACAGUCUCCUUCACUCCAUCCCUCUCUCCCAUUCUCCUGUAGUCCUGUAGGUCAGUGGUUGCCAAACUUUUUAUAGUCCCAUACCCCUUCAAACAUUCAACCUAGCUGCAUACCCCCUCUAGCACCAGGGUCAGCGCAUUCUCAAAUGUUGUUUGCCAUCAUUGUAAGCCUGCCACUCACACACACUAUACAUGUAUUAAACAUAAGAAUGCGUGUGAGUUUAUCACAACCUGGCUUGUGGGAAUUGACAAAGAGCUCUUAUAGGAUCAAGGGCACAUAAUAAUAUUUGAUACAUUUGCUAUUAAUUUAGCCAUCUUGCAUAAAACAUUUUGUUCAUUGAAAAUUGUUUUUUUUUAAACGUUAAUCACAUUUUUUAUUUGCCGUUGGAAUAUCAGCUGUGUCGGUGAACUCCCAUGUCUGAACUGGCUCCAUAGAGGGCACAGCAUGAUCAGAGGUAUGUUUUGAUGUGAGAGAGUAUGCCAACGGCCAGACCCAUCAUCGCCACCUCACCCGCUGUUACAAUAACCUUCAGGCCAAUUUGGGGCCCAAGGCUGGUUAGGAGACACCUCUAGAGACACUUAUGUAAAACAUUUCACGUUCUCUACUGGUUGAAGUCUCUCAUUUGAUGAAAUACCACACCUAUCCUUUCCUCAAAUCAGUGCAGAUGAAGGAAAUUGGAUAGAUGAACCUAUUUACAUGAUGCAUAGGAAGUGUAAUGUACUGUGUUUUUAAAAAUUCUGUUUCUGUAUAUAUGAAUUACAAAUCAGCCUUUUAACUAGUUAAAUCAUGUUUCUAGUCUAUUGCAUAGUUAAUAUGUAACCAAGCAUUGAUGUCCCAGGACCAA